ACUUAGUGUGGUGCAGUGGUUUGAGGGUUAGACUAUGAAUCUGGAGACCAGGGUUCAAAUCUCUGCUUGAGCA